rnacentral:rRNA from 1 species
UUGCAGGCUGCAACCCGCCUGCAUGAAGUCGGAAUUGCUAGUAAUCGCGGAUCAGCAUGCCGCGGUGAAUACGUUCCCGGGCCUUGUACACACCGCCCGUCACACCAUGGGAGCCGGUAAUACCCGAAGUCAGUAGUCCAACCUCGUGAGGACGCUGCCGAAGGUGGGAUUGACGACUGGGGUGAAGUCGUAACAAGGUACC